rnacentral:lncRNA from 1 species
GUGCCUGAUAUUCAUAUGAUGAAGACGUAAUCUUUCAAUCAGUUUAAUUGAGGUCUGGAGCUGGCAUGUCAGUUAACUGCUAGUACAUUGGAGUCUGUUGUUAUUUAUGCAUUAUUGUCAUUUUAUUUAUUUUCUUUUGUUAAAUCUUGAUAUCGGACUCGGACUUCUCUAGAACUAAAUUUUAAUGUGCGUAUUGUUAUGCGUUUUCUUUUCUACAUUGGCUAGAGGAAUAGGGGGAGGGUUGAGAUCUCAUAAACAUGUUUAACCCCGCCGCAAUUUUGCCCCUGUCCCAAGUCAGGAGCCUCUGGCCUUUGUUAGUCUUGUUUGAUUUUUAAUUUGAGUUUCUUAUGUUUAAUUCGUGGUUUAGUAUGACAUCUAUUAUCACUGUACUAGUAUACAUAUUUUUAAGGAGUCAGCUGAACGACGCUUACGGGUGCGGGAGUUUCUCGCUACAUUGAAGACCCAUUGGUGGCCUUCGGUUGUCUGCUCUAUGGUCGGGUUGUUGUCGCUUUGACACAUUCCCCAUUUCCUUUCUCAAUUUUAUACUAAGUUUCAAAAGCUACCUCGACACAAAACUUUAACCUGAAGCGGGACGAACGGACGGACCAAAAAACAUAAUGCCCAUAAAAGUGGGCAUAAAAAUACUGAACUCAGAGGAAAAUUCAAUAGGAAAGUCCAUAAUCACAUGGCAAAAUCAAAUGACAAAACACAUCAAAAACGGACAAGAAUGGACAAGAACUGUCAUAUUCCUGACUUGGUACAUGCAUUUUCAAAUGUAGAAAAUGGUGGAUUAAACCUAGUUUUAAAGCGCUAAACCUCUCACUUUGAUGACAUUCUCAUCAAAUUCCGUUAUAUUUACUAUGAUGCGUUAACUAAGACAUAAAAUAGUCAAAAUAUGGGUACAGCAGUCAUCAUCGUGUAACAAUUUUAAAAGGAACAAUUUAACAGAACACAAAAACAUCUAUCGACAAACACAUUCAUUGAUUCUCGUGUCUGACGACAGAAAAUUGUAUAUGUCACAUAUAUUUGUCGUUCAAUGUAUUUAGAAACAAUUUUAAAAUUUCACAUGGGCGAAGGGGGAAUUAAUUCACCCUUGUCCGUCUGUACGUACGUCCAAAAUUUGUGUCUGUUCUUUAUCUUUAGUUUGCCUCAACCAAAUGGUAUUAAACUUAUACACAAUGCUUAUUACCACAAAACACAGAACAAGUUAGAAUUUUGGUUGCGUCACUUUUAAUGGUCUUCAGUUUAUGUCCCUUAAUAUCUUAAAAUACAAGCGGGUGCAUCAUCUAUGUCUGAGAGACAUUCUCCAUUUAUUUCUUUUUCUUUUCUUUCGGCAGAUGAAAUUUAAAGCUUGUGAUAUCAAUGUUCUACAAUAGAUAAAUGUCUUUGUUAAACAAUUUACCCCGCCGCGUUUUUGCGCCUGUCCCAAGUGAAAACUUUCACAUUUGUUAGUUUGAUAGAAAGUACCGGUACCUUAUCCCGGCCUCGUUAAACAUUAGAUUGUAUAUUUAGAAAAAUUGUUAGUAAUUGUUAGUAUUCAAAAUUAUAAAAUAUAUAUAUACAGUAUAUUAUUAUUGUGUAUCAAUUAUU